AUAUAUUUCUCGAUCUUUUGGCUAAGAUAAAGUGUAAUUUAUUCUUACUAGUUUAAUAUAUGGUAAAUGGACCAUGUUCAAUUUGAUAUUUAAUUUAUUUAUUAUGGGUAUUUUUUGUGGGGGGGUCUACCUCACGGGGUUUAAUGGCCCUCGUGUGUCGCUCAAUCAUUGCACUGUUGGUGAGGUCUAGCCCACCCUAA
rfam:Zea mays cultivar B73 chromosome 1, whole genome shotgun sequence.